UACAGAGGGGGCAAGCGUUGUUCGGAAUUACUGGGCGUAAAGGGCGCGUAGCGGCCGCCUAAGUCAGACGUGAAAUCCCUCGGCUCAACCGGGGAACUGCGUCUGAUACUGGGUGGCUUGAAUCCGGGAGAGGGAUGCGGGAAUUCCGAGGUGUAGCGGUGAAAUGACGUAGAUAUCUGGAGGAAUACCGGUGGCGAAGGCGG
rnacentral:rRNA from 1 species